rnacentral:rRNA from 1 species
GACGAACGCUGGCGGCGUGCUUAACACAUGCAAGUCGAACGCUGAAGCACCAGCUUGCUGGUGUGGAUGAGUGGCGAACGGGUGAGUAAUACGUGAGUAACCUGCCCUUGACUCUGGGAUAAGCCCGGGAAACUGGGUCUAAUACUGGAUGCUACAUGUCACCGCAUGGUGGUGUGUGGAAAGGGUUUACUGGUCUUGGAUGGGCUCACGGCCUAUCAGCUUGUUGGUGAGGUAAUGGCUCACCAAGGCGACGACGGGUAGCCGGCCUGAGAGGGUGACCGGCCACACUGGGACUGAGACACGGCCCAGACUCCUACGGGAGGCAGCAGUGGGGAAGAUUGCACAAUGGGCGAAAGCCUGAUGCAGCGACGCCGCGUGAGGGAGGACGGCCUUCGGGUUGUAAACCUCUUUCAGCAGGGAAGAAGCCACAAGUGACGGUACCUGCAGAAGAAGCGCCGGCUAACUACGUG